CCUACGGGCGGCAGCAGUGGGGAAUAUUGCUCAAUGGAGGGAACUCUGAUCCAGCCACGCCGCGUGAGUGAAGAAGUAAUUCGUUAUGUUAAGCUCUAUCAGCAGGGAAGAAAGUGACGGUACCUGAAAAAGAAGCUCCGGCUAAAUACGUGCCAGCAGCCGCGGUAAUACGGAAGGAGCAAGCGUUAUCCGGAUUUACUGGGUGUAAAGGGAGUGUAGGUGGCAGAGCAAGUCCGAAGUGAAAACCCAAAGCUCAACAGUGGGAAUGCUUUAGAAACUGCUCAGAUAGAGUGCAGGAGAGGCAAGUGGAAUUCUUAGUGUAGCGGUGAAAUGCUUAGAUAUUAGGAGGAACACCAGUGGCGAAGGCGGCUUGCUGGACUGUAACUGACACUGAGGCUCGAAAGCGUGGGGAGCAAACAGGAUUAGAUACCCGGGUAGUC
rnacentral:rRNA from 1 species